rnacentral:rRNA from 1 species
ACGCGACCCCAGGUCAAGCGGGGCACCCGCUGAGUUUAAGCAUAUCA